AAUGGUCAGGGCUGCUCUCAAGACAGUUUGGACCCCCUUGGCUAAGAGCCACAGUAGAACCCUCGGAGGAAAACACCGGAUGAGAAGCAUCCCGAGGAAAGAGGGGUUUAUUCUGUCUGUCAGUGUGAGGGGACACUGUCCUUCAUGGUGGGGAAGGUGUGAUGGAGGGAGUGGUUCCAGCUGUGGUGGCAGGAGUAUAAGGCAUCUGGCCAUAUGUCACUUGCAGCGACAGAACAGAAAGAUGUACAUGUUGAUCCCCAUCUUGCUUCCUCCUUUGUCCUUUUAUUCAGCUCAUCUCAGAACCCCAUCCCAUGGCACUGUGGUGUCCGAAUUCAGAGUGGUUCUUCCAUCCUCAGUUAAACCUCUCUGGAAACAUCCUCACGGACAUGCCCUGCAGUGUGUCUCCUGGGUGACUCCAAAUCCAUGCAGUCUGACAAUGGAGAUUAGCAAUCCCAGCAAUAGCUGGGCAGUGGUGGCUGAUGCCUUUAAUCCCAGCACUCAGGAGGCAGAAUAAGGUGGAUCUCUGUGAGUUUGAGGCCAGCCUGGUUUAUAGAGUGAGUGCCAGGAUAGGCUCCAAAGCUACAGAGAAACCCUGUCUCGAAAGACCAAAGGAAAAAAAAAAACUUAGAUAUUAAAACAACCACAGAAAUAAUAUAACCAGGACUCUGCUUUAGCAGGGUUUUACUGGGUAGGAUGAAGAGGGAAGAAUGAGAGAAGAAGUGGGUGGGGCCGCUGCUGUGACUGACAAUUAUUCCCACAACCAACUUUUAUUGAGGGAUCCAUUCAUACCAUAGUCUCCUGCACUGGGAGUGCCACUCCUCAUGUCAUUCCAAACCAUACAUGAGGAGAUCGAAGCCCAGAUCAAGGCAGGGGAAAUGAAGGUGUGUGGGAGGAGAUGGGCCCAGAGAGAUGGUACUGGAGAUAUAAGAUGUCAGGUCAGAGACCGGGUGUAGACAGUAUCCUUCCCUGAGAUGUGGGGACUUGAAGAGAAGCAGUUUCAUUUGACAUAGCUCCUCUUUGAAGCCACUGC
rnacentral:lncRNA from 1 species